UCAACGAGUCUUUAUCCUUGGCCGACAGGCACGGGUAAUCUUUGAAAUUUCAUCGUGAUGGGGAUAGAUCAUUGCAAUUGUUGGUCUUCAACGAGGAAUUCCUAGUAAGCGCGAGUCAUCAGCUCGCGUUGACUACGUCCCUGCCCUUUGUACACACCGCCCGUCGCUCCUACCGAUUGAAUGAUCCGGUGAAGUGUUCGGAUCGCGUCGACGUGAGCGGUUCGCUGCCCGCGACGUCGCGAGAAGUCCACUGAACCUUAUCAUUUAGAGGAAGGAGAAGUCGUAACAAGGUUUCCGUAGGUGAACCUGCGGAAGGAUCAUUGUAGAAUCCCUAAAAACAAAAAUGACUUGAGAAUAUGUUCAAUAGCGUGCAUCGGGUGUGAGGGUAAAACCUCUUCGUCCGUUGCUCUUUGUCCGACCAAUCGUUGGUUGUGUUGGGCAGUUAAAAACAAAAAUCGGCACGGGAAGUGCCAAGGGCUUAUGAAAUGGGAUGCUUUAUCGUGGAAGGGGGACCGUUUGCGGUAUACCUUCAUCACGAUUCUCAAAAGGUCUCCGUAAAAAAAACCUUAUACGACUCUCGACAACG
rnacentral:rRNA from 1 species